rnacentral:lncRNA from 1 species
UUGGAAACAGCCUCUGGCAGAAAUGCAAGGUAAGGCUGCGUACGAUACACCUUUGUGGUAGGGCCCUUCCCCGAACACCGCGCAUAGCGGUAGCUUUAGUGCACCGGGCUGCCCUUCUUUUUUUUAUAUAACUUAAAAUAUAUAAAAAAAAAUUAAGACUAUAUGUAAAGAACCAGCUUAAUCUUAAAAGUUCGAUUCUUUUGAGUUGUGUUUUAUAGUUAUUAAGUAAAGUGAGAAUUUUGAUUUGAAAAUAUUUAGUCAGUGAAAUUUUGUUGCUUUUUGUUUUGAGAGUUGUCAGGGUUUUAGAAUUUUUAAUAACAACUACUUCGUCUUUUGUCCUUUUCUUUUUAUUUGGUUCGUCUUAUUUUAAAAAUAAGGAAAGAUUUUAAUUAUAGAAAAAAAAAAUAAGACCCUGCAUGAAAUGCAAAAGUGAUGAUUCAUCAAUCACUUCUAGUGGUAAAAUACAUAUGUGUUUACACUAAAAUAUAUGUUUAUGUUUACAUUAUUAUAUUAAAGUGUAAAGGAAAUUAGAAAAGUGAUUUUAACAUUUUGUACUUCAUUACAGAUCUCCGCAAUAGACAAAAUCAUUUAAUUUUAAAUAAACAAAUGGUACACACGUACUGUUAAACUAGUUUCUUUUAAAAACAUAUUGCAUGUUGUAUAAAAUUGUAAUACUUUAGAUUUACCUAAAACUUAAAAAGUUCUAAACCUUAAUAGUUAGUUGUAUGUGUAAGUUUGUUGAUAAUUCCCACGUUGGUCAUAUCAUGCAAAAAAUAUUAAUAUUCAAGUUAAAUUGAUAAACCAACUAAUGGUAGAAUUUUUUAAAGCCACAAAAUACUAUUAAUCAAGUUAUACUGUCUAAAAUAUAGGAGUUCGAAAUCCACUAAUAAUAAAAAUGUGCAAAGCUACCUUCUCAGUCCCUACUUGAACCACCUUUGCUUUCAAACCUAGAAACUAAAAGUUAGCUACCUUAGGUUAUCAACUUAUAUCUAACCGCACAAGCUUUUCUUUCUUAUACUAUUUUUUAUUUGCAUCAUAGCAUUUAGUGCAUGGCAUCAACAUGUUCCACGAAGUUUGGCAAGAGUCUAGGGGUUAAAUUAGGUUGGUCGAGGUUCUCGAUUAAUUCAAGUUCUAAAGAUUUUAUUUAUCACAUUGAGGUCCUUAUUUAUUCUAUUUUUUGUUGUUGCAUAUUUGCGUUGCAUAUUUAAUAUAUUCUUGCAACUUUUUCUCUUUUUCAAAAUUCUGAAGGAAAUACAAAUUAGAACAAUCCAAUUGGGAGGAGAAUAAUAUAAGAAAUGCAAUUCAAAUGGUAAAUAUAGUUAUAAACAUAAAAUAUUUUCCAAGGAUUCAAAUGUUUUAACUAAUUUCCUUAUUAGAUAAGAUUGCCCUGUCUAAUAAACAAGUGUAUCAUGUUUCCUUAAAGCUUUUGUUCUUUCCUUAUACUUCUGUCAAGCAUAAUAUAUAAUUAGGCCCUUUAAAUUGACCUCAAAUUAUAUCUAUGACCUCCAACUUUGGUGUGCACAAGUAGGCCCUUAAACUUGUAAAAAGUUAAACAAAUAGACAUAUACGUACUACAUGGCAUAAUACACCUAGGAUGUCAUGUAGGACAAAAAUUGACCACGUAGGAUGCCACAUAGGACAUAUGUGUCUACUUGUUCAACUUUAUACAAGUUUAAGGGCCUACUUGUGCACACCCAAAGUUGGAGAUCAUAGAUAUAAUUUGAGGUCAAGUUAAAGGGCCUAGUUAUGUAUUAUGCCUUUCUGUCAUGCAUUUUAUUAUGUUUAGGCUAGUUUAAAUUAAUGUUCAUUGCACAAUAUGCCCGUAAAUUAGGUGUGAUACAUUCGGUGGACAGGUACACAAGUGAAUUUUAGUAUAUAUCAACGUGAAUUGUUAUACUCUAUCCAUAUAAGUUUUCUUUUAUUUUGCAUAGUCAGCUGACAAAUUUAGAGGACUAAGGAAUAACAUUAUUCUCUGCCUUAAGCAGGAUACUUUAAAUGUAGAAAGUAAAAACAUGGAUAUGGUAUAAGCAAUUGUAAUGUCAACUCUGCGGGAACACCAACCCAACUUUACAAAAAAUUUUAGACCAAAAGGCUUUAACGUUUUGUAUACACUAAGGAGUCAUUUGGUGUGAGGUAUAAGGUAUAAUAGUCCCAGGAUGCAUUUUAUCCUGCGUUUUGUUGAAGGUAUUAGUUAGUUCCAGAAUUAUUUAUCCCACCAUUUAUAUCUUAGUGAUGGGAUAAGUUCUCCCAUAUAUGGUGGGAUAACUUGUUCCCAACCAAAUGACCCCUAUGAACUAUUUCUCCCUAGUGGUAUAUAUCAAGGACCAAAAGACACCAACCCUCAUCAUUAAGGAUAAUUUUGGCCAUUUUCUUGUUGGUUUUGUAACCUAAUUUUGGACAGUAGUUGAUUUUUUCUUAGCAACAAAAAUCAAAUGUGAAUCGUAGCUAUAAUUAUGUAUCUAGGCAAGCAAAAAUAGAUUACAUGUAUUAAGCACGCGAUUGGACCUUUCUUGGACAUUUAUUUAGCAUGUACAGGAUUUUACGAGUCGUGCAUUAGAUCGGAUAUUAGGUUUUUGGUUAAAAUGGGUGUUGCAUCUAAUAUUUUCUACAUUUCUACUUAAAUCCACCUCAAGAUUUAUAAGAUAACACCAAAGGUCAUUCAACACACAAGUUCAUCUCAAGAUUUUAUGCCAAAUUCAAAUUGUUCUUCCUUUAUAUGAAUAAUUGAAUGUGAAAUGUUGAUCGACUAGAUAUCUACGUAUAUAUUAACGUACAUAACACAUUUGUAGAAACUAGUAAGUUGAAAUAAGCAGAAACAUACAAAGGCUUACACUUUGUUUGGAUGGUGGUUUGCCAUGGUUUCAUAAUGUACGGCACUGUAUGGCUAAGUUGCUCGAACUCGGGUACGGAUUCGAGAGUCGGAUUCGUCAAAAUAUAAAUUUUAAGAUUCUCGGGUGCGAAUUCGAGUAUGGAUACGGGUGCAGGGAUUCAACUAAAAAAAUCAAAUAUCUAUAAUAUAUUAAAAAUGUGAAGACCCUUAGAAAAGUGAUUUAAAAUUUUUGUCCUUCAUUAAAAGACUUUCUUUUAAACAAAAUUGUCUUUUCACUAUUUUUUAAUUAAUUAUUUAAUUAUUUUUAUUAUAUUAACUAGACUCCUAAAAUAUAUGAGACUUCUAAAAUAUAUGAAAGGAGAUUCAAUUAAUAUUUUCUUUGUACUGAUCGAUUAGAAAAACUCGUAAAAUAGAAUAGAAAAAUACGUUUAUGUAGAUUCAAUUUGCCUAAUUGUUUUGAAGUAGUUCAUUUUGGUGUUCCUUUAAAUCUGCGAAUUACAUUUAAUCUUGUUUCAUUAGUGUGAUGUCGUUGGUUAUGAGUUUUUUUUAAUGAGUGGGAGUGAUCAUUUAAGAUUGUUUACCUUGCCUAACAUUUAAGGUUGGCAUUAAUGUUCUUUCCGUUUUAUGAUAUUGGAAAAAUAUGAUUGACGCUCAUCUAGCUUAAUUCGAUUACAUGUCUAGAUUAGUGAUGCUUAAUUUACUAACCCUCAACUUCUUCACUAUUUUUGUCAUUAUAAUAAAAUUCAACGUGUGUGUAUAUAUCUUCUUUGUUUUCAUUCAAGUCAUUCUUUAGUGUCAAAAUUUUCGCUCAAACAAGAAUUAUUUUCAUCAAAACUGAAGCCUUGUGGUCACUAUUGUAUUAUUUUGGUGUAAUUUACAGGUCGUAGAUUAAUUUACAAGUGGUAGAUGAAUGUCGGUCGGCGUUGAAAAAAUUUUUUGAGUAAAGGUUAGGUUUAAUUACAUUUUUUGUGUAUCUCUGCUUUGAGAAUUUUUUUAUGUAAAGGUAAAGUUUAGUUGUAUUAUUUUGAUAUCUCUAUUGUCGUAUAAUUUUGUUAUAGUUUACAGGUGGUAGAUAGUGUCGGACAACUUUGAAAAAAUGUGUAAAGGUUAGAUUUAAUUAUAUUGUUUUGAUGUCUCUAUCAUCGUAUUAUUUUGUUGCAGUUUAUAGCUGGUAGGUGAAUGUCGAUCGGCUUUGAAAAAAAAAUUUAGUAAAGAUUAGGUUUAAUUAAAUAAAUUCUCUCAAAGAUGUUGAAUUUAAUUAUUAUAUUCAACUUUAUUAUUUAAACAAAUAUCCUAUUUAUUGUAACAUUUGAACUCAAUAAAAUAAGGUACCCGAGCAAAGCGCGUACACCUAAACUAGUUAUAAAUGUAGAGUU